UGGAAAGGGCGGGGCCUGGCGGGGGCCCGGGGGAACCGCGGAAAGAGACAAGAGGCAGACAGCAGAAGUCAUCACGGUGAAACAGACUUUCAAUGGAAAAUCAUCCUGCAGCUUCAGCUAAAGCGGAGUUUUGUGACAGGAUAAAACCCCAAGGAACCCAGAGGCAACAGAGUCAGCAGAAAAAGUUAAGUGGGAUGCAGAUGCCGGAAAAUAACAUCGAGGACUUAGCCUUACGUCCUGCCGUGAGCAUAUGGUCUCUUGGAGCCAAAUGCCAAGAGGUUUAGAGCAGGAGGGGGAAAUGCUAUGGUUACAGAUAUUUGAAUAAUAAAUCAUACU